UUGUGAGGUUAAGCGACUAAGCGUACACGGUGGAUGCCCUGGCAGUCAGAGGCGAUGAAGGACGUGCUAAUCUGCGAUAAGCGUCGGUGAGGUGAUAUGAACCGUUAUAACCGGCGAUUUCCGAAUGGGGAAACCCAGUGUGUUUCGACACACUAUCAUUAACUGAAUCCAUAGGUUAAUGAGGCGAACCGGGGGAACUGAAACAUCUAAGUACCCCGAGGAAAAGAAAUCAACCGAGAUUCCCCCAGUAGCGGCGAGCGAACGGGGAGGAGCCCAGAGCCUGAAUCAGUGUGUGUGUUAGUGGAAGCGUCUGGAAAGGCGCGCGAUACAGGGUGACAGCCCCGUACACAAAAAUGCACAUAUUGUGAGCUCGAUGAGUAGGGCGGGACACGUGGUAUCCUGUCUGAAUAUGGGGGGACCAUCCUCCAAGGCUAAAUACUCCUGACUGACCGAUAGUGAACCAGUACCGUGAGGGAAAGGCGAAAAGAACCCCGGCGAGGGGAGUGAAAAAGAACCUGAAACCGUGUACGUACAAGCAGUGGGAGCCUCUUAAUGGGGUGACUGCGUACCUUUUGUAUAAUGGGUCAGCGACUUAUAUUCUGUAGCAAGGUUAACCGAAUAGGGGAGCCGAAGGGAAACCGAGUCUUAACUGGGCGUUAAGUUGCAGGGUAUAGACCCGAAACCCGGUGAUCUAGCCAUGGGCAGGUUGAAGGUUGGGUAACACUAACUGGAGGACCGAACCGACUAAUGUUGAAAAAUUAGCGGAUGACUUGUGGCUGGGGGUGAAAGGCCAAUCAAACCGGGAGAUAGCUGGUUCUCCCCGAAAGCUAUUUAGGUAGCGCCUCGUGAAUUCAUCUCCGGGGGUAGAGCACUGUUUCGGCAAGGGGGUCAUCCCGACUUACCAACCCGAUGCAAACUGCGAAUACCGGAGAAUGUUAUCACGGGAGACACACGGCGGGUGCUAACGUCCGUCGUGAAGAGGGAAACAACCCAGACCGCCAGCUAAGGUCCCAAAGUCAUGGUUAAGUGGGAAACGAUGUGGGAAGGCCCAGACAGCCAGGAUGUUGGCUUAGAAGCAGCCAUCAUUUAAAGAAAGCGUAAUAGCUCACUGGUCGAGUCGGCCUGCGCGGAAGAUGUAACGGGGCUAAACCAUGCACCGAAGCUGCGGCAGCGACGCUUAUGCGUUGUUGGGUAGGGGAGCGUUCUGUAAGCCUGUGAAGGUGUGCUGUGAGGCAUGCUGGAGGUAUCAGAAGUGCGAAUGCUGACAUAAGUAACGAUAAAGCGGGUGAAAAGCCCGCUCGCCGGAAGACCAAGGGUUCCUGUCCAACGUUAAUCGGGGCAGGGUGAGUCGACCCCUAAGGCGAGGCCGAAAGGCGUAGUCGAUGGGAAACAGGUUAAUAUUCCUGUACUUGGUGUUACUGCGAAGGGGGGACGGAGAAGGCUAUGUUGGCCGGGCGACGGUUGUCCCGGUUUAAGCGUGUAGGCUGGUUUUCCAGGCAAAUCCGGAAAACCAAGGCUGAGGCGUGAUGACGAGGCACUACGGUGCUGAAGCAACAAAUGCCCUGCUUCCAGGAAAAGCCUCUAAGCAUCAGGUAACAUCAAAUCGUACCCCAAACCGACACAGGUGGUCAGGUAGAGAAUACCAAGGCGCUUGAGAGAACUCGGGUGAAGGAACUAGGCAAAAUGGUGCCGUAACUUCGGGAGAAGGCACGCUGAUAUGUAGGUGAAGCGACUAGCUCGUGGAGCUGAAAUCAGUCGAAGAUACCAGCUGGCUGCAACUGUUUAUUAAAAACACAGCACUGUGCAAACACGAAAG
rnacentral:rRNA from 1 species